UUGAUAACUCCGCCUGUAGUUCUUCCGGAGUCUACUGCCAGUUCCAAGCCCGGAUAAAGGAGGAGGGUUUG
rnacentral:ribozyme from 2 species